AGAGAAGCUUGCUUCUCUUGAGAGCGGCGGACGGGUGAGUAAUGCCUAGGAAUCUGCCUGGUAGUGGGGGAUAACGUUCGGAAACGGACGCUAAUACCGCAUACGUCCUACGGGAGAAAGCAGGGGACCUUCGGGCCUUGCGCUAUCAGAUGAGCCUAGGUCGGAUUAGCUAGUUGGUGGGGUAAUGGCUCACCAAGGCGACGAUCCGUAACUGGUCUGAGAGGAUGAUCAGUCACACUGGAACUGAGACACGGUCCAGACUCCUACGGGAGGCAGCAGUGGGGAAUAUUGGACAAUGGGCGAAAGCCUGAUCCAGCCAUGCCGCGUGUGUGAAGAAGGUCUUCGGAUUGUAAAGCACUUUAAGUUGGGAGGAAGGGCAGUAAAUUAAUACUUUGCUGUUUUGACGUUACCGACAGAAUAAGCACCGGCUAACUCUGUGC
rnacentral:rRNA from 1 species